ACCGGAUAUGACCAUCUGACGCAUGUCAUGGUGGUGGAAAGCUUUUGUGGUUUUGGAUGGACUCGCGGCCUAUCAGCUUGUUGGUGGGGUAAUGGCCUACCAAGGCGACGACGGGUAGCCGGCCUGAGAGGGUGACCGGCCACACUGGGACUGAGACACGGCCCAGACUCCUACGGGAGGCAGCAGUGGGGAAUAUUGCACAAUGGGCGGAAGCCUGAUGCAGCGACGCCGCGUGAGGGAUGACGGCCUUCGGGUUGUAAACCUCUUUCAGUAGGGAAGAAGCGAAAGUGACGGUACCUGCAGAAGAAGCGCCGGCUAACUACGUGCCAGCAGCCGCGGUAAUACGUAGGGCGCAAGCGUUAUCCGGAAUUAUUGGGCGUAAAGAGCUCGUAGGCGGUUUGUCGCGUCUGCUGUGAAAGACCGGGGCUCAACUCCGGUUCUGCAGUGGGUACGGGCAGACUAGAGUGCAGUAGGGGAGACUGGAAUUCCUGGUGUAGCGGUGAAAUGCGCAGAUAUCAGGAGGAACACCGAUGGCGAAGGCAGGUCUCUGGGCUGUAACUGACGCUGAGGAGCGAAAGCAUGGGGAGCGAACAGGAUUAGAUACCCUGGUAGUCCAUGCCGUAAACGUUGGGCACUAGGUGUGGGGGACAUUCCACGUUUUCCGCGCCGUAGCUAACGCAUUAAGUGCCCCGCCUGGGGAGUACGGCCGCAAGGCUAAAACUCAAAGGAAUUGACGGGGGCCCGCACAAGCGGCGGAGCAUGCGGAUUAAUUCGAUGCAACGCGAAGAACCUUACCAAGGCUUGACAUGAACCGGAAAGACCUGGAAACAGGUGCCCCGCUUGCGGUCGGUUUACAGGUGGUGCAUGGUUGUCGUCAGCUCGUGUCGUGAGAUGUUGGGUUAAGUCCCGCAACGAGCGCAACCCUCGUUCUAUGUUGCCAGCGCGUUAUGGCGGGGACUCAUAGGAGACUGCCGGGGUCAACUCGGAGGAAGGUGGGGACGACGUCAAAUCAUCAUGCCCCUUAUGUCUUGGGCUUCACGCAUGCUACAAUGGCCGGUACAAAGGGUUGCGAUACUGUGAGGUGGAGCUAAUCCCAAAAAGCCGGUCUCAGUUCGGAUUGGGGUCUGCAACUCGACCCCAUGAAGUCGGAGUCGCUAGUAAUCGCAGAUCAGCAACGCUG
rnacentral:rRNA from 1 species